rnacentral:rRNA from 1 species
AUUGAACGCUGGCGGCAUGCCUUACACAUGCAAGUCGAACGGCAGCGCGGGGCAACCUGGCGGCGAGUGGCGAACGGGUGAGUAAUAUAUCGGAACAUACCCUAGAGUGGGGAUAACGUAGCGAAAGUUACGCUAAUACCGCAUACGCACUAAGGUGGAAAGUGGGGGAUUCGCAAGAACCUCAUGCUCAUGGAGUGGCCGAUAUCUGAUUAGCUAGUUGGUGAGGUAAAGGCUCACCAAGGCAACGAUCAGUAGCUGGUUUGAGAGAACGACCAGCCACACUGGAACUGAGACACGGUCCAGACUCCUACGGGAGGCAGCAGUGGGGAAUUUUGGACAAUGGGGGCAACCCUGAUCCAGCAAUGCCGCGUGAGUGAAGAAGGCC